GAGUUUUAUAUUUUUAUGUAUUAUAGUAUAGGUAAAAAUAUAUAAAAUUUACUUCAACUAUCACCCAUUUAGACGUAACUAUCUAAUCUUUUAAUUUUACUAUCUAACCUUUUGAUUUAUUUGAUUUGAGUAAAUUAGUGACUCCUUCACAUCAAAUUUUGAAUGCGUUGUUUAUUUUUAUGAAUAUAAUUAGUAUAUUUUAUGAAAUUUACGUAACUAUAAAUUCAUUAAGGCAAGUAAUUGGCUUAAAUUGUGAAUCCAAAGAAUGAGCAAAUUAUUUAAAUAAAAUAAAUGAAAAUAUUGGGUAUUAAAAUUAAAAUUUUGAAAGGUUAGGUGGUGAAGCAAAACGGUCUAUAGUUCAGAUAAAUUUUAUAUACUUUUAGCUAAAAUAAAAAGUAUUUUUUUAUAUUUUAAAAUUUUAUAUAAUUAUGUUGAAAUUAGAAGAUCAAAAUUACUGCAUAAUUUAAGUACGCUCAAUGAGAAAGAUUUGUCGUCCCUAUCAUCUAACAAUCUGGAUGGACAAAAAAAAAAAAAAAAAAAAAAAUUGGAAGCUCCCCAACUACGUUUUCUUAGGAAGCCCCAAUUUACCAACACGCGUCACUUUUAUCACUAUUCAAAAGUUAUAAUUUUUUCACCUAAGAUUUAAUUUUUUUUAAAAAAUAGUAUUAACAAAUAUUAAAUGAAUUAUUAUAUGAAGAAAAAAUUAAUACGUGGCGGUGAAUCAGAUUAUCAAGAAGCUUCUCAAGGAGGUGUUAUUGGAAAAUUCUCUAUUAAAAUUUUAUUUUUGUUUACAAAAAAAUAAAAAAAAAAUUUGUGCACCCCACAACCCCAUACAUUUAAAUAUAUAUAUAUUUUUUUAAAAAAAUUAAUCGAACACAUUCAACUCCCUUUUCCAGCCGACAUGCAGCCCCAUCUUGCAAUCAUUAGGAUUCACACCUUACGGCUUGUUUUACACUUAAAACCCUCACAAUUUGUUUAUUAUAUUAUUACCCCUAUGAGCUCUUUAGGAAAAACUUCAAAAACCCCCCUGCGGUUUCACACUUUAUCACUUUAGUACCCUGUAGUUUGUAGUGUAUCAAGUUAGUACUCUGUGGUUUCUUCUCACUUUAUCACUUUAGUACCCUAUGAUUUAAAGUGUAUCAAGUUAGUACUCUGUGGUUUUGCACUUUAUCAUUUAGUACCAUGUGGUUUCACACUUUAUCACUUUAGUAUUCUGUGAUUUAAAAAAUCACAGGAUACUAACUUGAUACAAAAUUAAAAACACAGUGUACUAAAGUGAUAAAGUGCAAAACUACAGGGUACUAAUUUGAUACACUUUAAACCACAGGGUACUAAAGUGAUAAAGUGAGAAACCACACGGUACUAACUUGAUACAUUUUAAACCACAGGGUACUAAAGUGAUAAAAAUUGAAACCACAAGGGGGGUUUUUGAAGUUUUUCCAAAUUUUUAAAUAGAGAAAUAAUUCUAUGCUUUCUAUUUGGGCGCUCUACUGAAUUAACUAAAUAUUUUACGUUAAUACGGCAAAUCAUUUAUUUGUUCACUUAAGUAAUAGUAUUGAACACAGUAGCCAUCAUUUAAGUAAAGUAUUAUGUCUUGAUAAAAGUUUACAAUUCUAUUUAAAUGUAUGAGUAUUUUAUUUAGUAUAUUUUUAAAAUUUUUACUCAGGAAUCUGUAUUAUUUGGAAAACGAGGACGUUGAGAAGUGCGAUCAAAUGCCUAGAAUAUGAUAACAUAUUCGAUCUUCAACUUGUUUUUUAGAAUAAAAUAAAAUACUUUCGUAGGUACAAUAUUCUAUUCUAUUAAAUUAUAAAUGUCAAAACCUUUCAAAAAAAUAAAAAUAAAAUAUUAGAUAAUUUAUUCUGAAGUCCAAAUAUGACCUAAAACAACACAAUAAAUGUUAUAUCCUGUUUACAC
rnacentral:lncRNA from 1 species